UCCGGUGAAGAUGGCUGAGUGGUUCCACCUGUUCCCAUACCGAACACAGAAGUUAAGCACUCAUACGCCGAAGGUACUGAGCUGGCGACGGCUUGGAAGAUUAGGUAUUCGCCGGUU
rnacentral:rRNA from 1 species